CCCUUAGAUGUUCUUGGCCGCACGCGCGUUACAAUGAAUCGUUCAACAGGUUUUCUUCCUGAGUCGAAAGGCUUGGGUAAUCCUUUAAAUACGGUUCGUGCUAGGGAUAGAUUUUUGCAAUUAUUAAUCUUGAACGAGGAAUAUUUAGUAAACGCAGGUCAUCAGCCUGCAUUGAUUACGUCCCUGCCCUUUGUACACACCGCCCGUCGCACCAACCGAUUGGAUGUUUUGUUGAAAUAUGUGGAUGUUUUUUGAGUGGAUUAAUUUUCGCUCGAUAGACAGAAACGUAUUAAAACUGAAUAUAUAGAGGAUGGUGAAGUCGUAACA
rnacentral:rRNA from 1 species